GGCCAUGACCCCCCUCCCCUCCCCACACAGGAUCGCAAGCAGCAACAACCUGAACAAGUCGGAGAGUGACCAGGAGGACAAUGAUGACAUCAACGACAACGACUGGUCCUACGGCUCUGAGAAGAAAGCAAAGAAGAGGAAAUCGGAUAAGAACCCCAACUCGCCCCGCAGGUCCAAGUCCCUGAAACACAAAAAUGG